UCAAGUUCAAUCAGGAAGGCUGAUCAAGUUCAAUCAGGAAGGCUGGUCAAGUUCAAUCAGGAAGGCUGAUCAAGUUCAAUCAGGAAGGCUGAUCAAGUUCAAUCAGGAAGGCUGGUUUAUGCUUGUUUAACUUCAUCCAGUAAGAAUAAUAUAAUUCACUUUGUAUCCCAGUAUUCAUAGUGGAAAUGAAUACAAACGUAUCAUCAUCAUCAUCAUCAUCAGUUUCUUCUCCUCUUUCCUAUUAGCCAUGUGUGGCAUGUCAGUCACCUAUUUACCUUAUAG
rnacentral:lncRNA from 1 species